rnacentral:rRNA from 1 species
AGCUAAUACUUGCUUUAGCACUCUUGAUUAAGUUCUUGAGUGUGUACUUGUUAAGCCUUUUAAGAAAAAAGUUAUUAACUUAAGGAAUUAUAACAAAGAAGCAACACGUAAAUGGAUUUUCCAUUUUUUAGUGUGUAUCAAUCGAGUUUCUGACCUAUCAGCUUUUGAUGUUAGGGUAUUGGCCUAACAUGGCUAUGACGGGUAACGGGGAAUUAGAGUUCGAUUCCGGAGAGGGAGCCUGAGAAAUAGCUACCACAUCUAAGGAAGGCAGCAGGCGCGUAAAUUACCCAAUUCUAAAGAAGAGAGGUAGUGACAAGAAAUAACAAUACAAGGCCAAUCUGGCUUUGUAAUUGGAAUGAUGGGAAUUUAAAACCUUCCCAAAACUCAAUUGGAGGGCAAGUCUGGUGCCAGCAGCCGCGGUAAUUCCAGCUCCAAUAGCGUAUAUUAAAAUUGUUGCAGUUAAAACGCUCGUAGUUGAAUUUCAAAGAAUCGAUAUUUUAAGUAGCACUUUGUAGAUUAAUCCACAUAACUGAUACUACGUAUCGACUUUGUGCGCAUUUUUCUACUUAUGUGUUCUUUUAAUUAAAAUGAUUCUUUUUAAGAUCUUUCUUUUUUGCUUCGGCAUUUUAGGAGAUCUUGUUACUUUGAGUAAAUUAGAGUGUUCAAAGCAAACAGAUUAUAGCAUCUUUAUGCGUUUGAAUACUACAGCAUGGAAUAACAAAAUUGAACAAGUCAGAAUUUUGUUCUUUUUUUUUAUUUUGGCUUAGUUACGAUUAAUAGGAGUAGCUUGGGGGCAUUUGUAUUCAGAUGUCAGAGGUGAAAUUCUUAGAUUUUCUGGAGACAAACAACUGCGAAAGCAUUUGCCUAAAAUACUUCCAUUAAUCAAGAACGAAAGUUAAGGGAGUGAAGACGAUCAGAUACCGUCGUAAUCUUAACCAUAAACUAUGCCGACUAGGCUUUGGAUGAAAGAUUUUAAAAUAAGAGUUUUUUCUCU